rnacentral:lncRNA from 1 species
GACGGGAUGUAUAAGAGUUUCUUCGAAUUUAUUGAAAUUUCUAUUAAAAGUUCAGGGAAAGCGAUUGUAAUCACUACUGGAAAUACGAUUACUCUCUAUAAACGAGAACAAAGUAUGUCUAGCGACACAACGACAAAAGGACACCAGUUUUAACAGGUCGAAAACAUUUUUUAAAAAUAUAGAACUCUGCUCAUUCAGUAUCAC